rnacentral:rRNA from 1 species
UACGUAGGGUGCAAGCGUUGUCCGGAAUUAUUGGGCGUAAAGAGCUCGUAGGCAGCUUGUUGCGUCGUCCGUGAAAACCUGUGGCUCAACUACAGGCUUGCGGUCGAUACGGGCGGGCUGGAGUUCGGUAGGGGAGACUGGAAUUCCUGGUGUAGCGGUGAAAUGCGCAGAUAUCAGGAGGAACACCGGUGGUGUAGACGGCUUUCUGGACCGUAACUGACGCUGAGACACGAAAGCGUGGGUAGCAAACAGG